rnacentral:rRNA from 1 species
AUAUGUUAAGUGGAAAAGGAUGUGGGGUUGCACAGACAACUAGGAUGUUAGCUUAGAAGCAGCUAUUCAUUCAAAGAGUGCGUAAUAGCUCACUAGUCGAGUGACCCUGCGCCGAAAAUGUACCGGGGCUAAAACAUAUUACCGAAGCUGUGGAUGACACGUUAGUGUCAUGGUAGGAGAGCGUUCUAUGUGUGAAGAAGGUGUACCGUGAGGAGCGCUGGAACGCAUAGAAGUGAGAAUGCCGGUAUGAGUAGCGAAAGACAGGUGAGAAUCCUGUCCACCGUAAGACUAAGGUUUCCAGGGGAAGGCUCGUCCGCCCUGGGUUAGUCGGGACCUAAGGAGAGACCGAAAGGUGUAUCCGAUGGCCAACAGGUUGAUAUUCCUGUACUAGAGUAUAAAGUGAUGGAGGGACGCAGUAGGCUAACUAAAGCAGGCGAUUGGAAGAGCCUGUCUAAUCAGUGAGGUGUAAGAUGAGUCAAAUGCUUAUCUUUAUAACAUUGAGCUGUGAUGGGGAGCGAAGUUAAGUAGCGAAGUUAGUGAUGUCACACUGCCAAGAAAAGCUUCUAGCGUUUAAUUAUACUCUACCCGUACCGCAAACCGACACAGGUAGUCGAGGCGAGUAGCCUCAGGUGAUCGAGAGAACUCUCGUUAAGGAACUCGGCAAAAUGACCCCGUAACUUCGGGAGAAGGGGUGCUGACUUACGUCAGCCGCAGUGAAUAGGCCCAAGCAACUGUUUAUCAAAAACACAGCUCUCUGCUAAAUCGUAAGAUGAUGUAUAGGGGGUGACGCCUGCCCGGUGCUGGAAGGUUAAGAGGAGGGUUUAGCGUAAGCGAAGAUCUGAAUUGAAGCCCCAGUAAACGGCGGCCGUAACUAUAACGGUCCUAAGGUAGCGAAAUUCCUUGUCGGGUAAGUUCCGACCCGCACGAAAGGCGUAAUGAUUUGGGCACUGUCUCAACGAGAGACUCGGUGAAAUUUUAGUACCUGUGAAGAUGCAGG